rnacentral:rRNA from 1 species
GAGCGAACGUUAGCGGCGGGCCUAACACAUGCAAGUCGAGCGAGAAAGUGGCUUCGGCCAUCAGUAAAGCGGCGGACGGGUGAGUAACACGUAGGUAAUCGUUCCCUUGAGCGGGGGGACAACGUUUCGAAACGGACGCUAAGUACCGCAUAAGUUUCCAGGGCCUCUGGGUCUUGGAAGGAAAGCUAGGUCGCAAGAUCCGGCACUCGAGGAGGUAGCCUGCGUCGCAUCAGCUAGUUGGUGGGGAAUGG